UUUCAUUCUGUUCGGUUUGAAGUUUUUAAGAGUGGAAUAGUUUCAUUGUUAAACUAAUUAAGUGUUUAUUUCGUCAUAAAGAAGUCGUUACUAUUGAUUGUUCAUACCGUUGUUGCUUAGCCGAUAUGUUUAGAUGGAUGAAUUUGUUAAAAAGCUGAAUUUUAAAGCUUGAAAGUAUGGUUGCACGCCAACUGUUUGUGAAAAUGUCUCUAUGAACGUUACAUCGAAUUUUGCUUGUAUACGUUCUGUUAUCAUUCAUUACUUAAUUGGAUGAGUUUGCUAAUUUGUGAUACAAUGGCUAGUUUGCAAGUCUGAUUGUGUUGGCUCAGUAAGUGUUUACAUAAUUUCCGCGUAGAGAUGUGGGGUGUGAAUUAGUUGACGUUCAUUCAGAUCGAUCGGAUCUUGUAGAAAUGGAUGAUAAUCAGAUGAGUUCUUUGAUGUUCAUGAAUCUUUUGGUGACAUUCAAUUUGAAAAUGUAAAUUGAAAGGAAAUUCAUCUUUCUAGGAAGAUUACUGCUAGGAGCACAAUGAUGCAAACCAUUGUUGUUGACUUGGUGAGAUCAGAUAAAAGGGAAGAUGAACUUGCUUCCCGACUAUGGAGCAUUGUGCAGGUCAGUAUGAAGGGAAACGUGAUUUAUCAUGGGUUAGCUGGAUUUACCAGACGUACUUCAAUGCACCCGAUGGCGAUUAGCCAUUGGCGCUGGACAUGAACAAGGGAUCGAGUUUAGGCCGAAGGCAACUUCAGAAUGGGGAAGAAGGGGAGCUCGAGAUGACCAUGAUGGAGGUGAAAGGAGGAAAUUCGAAGGGUGGUAUGAUCGUUCAAGGGAUUGAGAUUAGGCCAAAGGCAAGUUAGAUGAUAAAUCUUCUAUUGACAAUAAGUGUGAUGCUUUUAGUUUUGUACGUAAGAAUCGAUGUUUUAUACAAAUUAUCUUCUGUUCUAUUUCAUCAAUUAGCAGAGCACAUGUUUAUUUGCAACUUUCUUUAUAUGAUCUGUUUUUUACAUA